AUGUUUCAGUCUUCACGUCCCCCUCCUCACGUUCACCCCGCACCCGCCGGUCCCAGCCGACCCCGCAAACCCGUCCUGCCACGGCGCCGGCGGGGCCCGCGUCUACGUGACGGCGGCGGCGAGGCGGGGGCAGGGGUCCCGGUCUCCGUCAGAGCGGCACCGCACCGAGUUGGCGACCCCAGCCGCCCCGAGCGCAGAGACGCGACACCCGCCGCGGAGCCCGAGCCACGGCGGGGGGGGGGGAGGGGGGGCGGCGCAGCGGCGCGAGGACCCCGGCUCGGCGCCCGCUUACCUGCGGUGGCUCAGCUCCCAACCCGCAACGGCGCCCGCGGGCGGCCGACGGGAGGCGGUGGCUGGACGGCGACGAUGGAGUGUGGCUGGGUUGGGCUGGGACCCAGGAAACCGGCUUCCAGUCUCAGGAACCCCCUGUGGUUCUGCAGGAGGAACAAGGGCAACCACUUCCUCAUCUAAGUUCCUUCGGCCUCUUUCUCAUCAGCCAAGCUUUGCCCCAUCCUUAACCAAGGCCCUACGAAGACUAGAUAGUUUCACUGGCCUAAGCACACUAGGAAUUUUCCUCUUUUCUGUGCCUUUCACCUGGCUUCCAAGUGAAUAAAAAUUUAGAAAGACAAGAACUGGAAUUUCUG
rnacentral:lncRNA from 1 species